rnacentral:rRNA from 1 species
AUACGGAGGAUGCGAGCGUUAUCCGGAUUUAUUGGGUUUAAAGGGUGCGCAGGCGGGAGAUUAAGUCGGCGGUGAAAUUUUGCAGCUCAACUGUAAAAGUGCCUUCGAUACUGGUUUCCUUGAGUGUGGAUGAAGUAGGCGGAAUUUGUGGUGUAGCGGUGAAAUGCUUAGAUAUCACGAGGAACUCCGAUUGCGCAGGCAGCUUACUAAACCACUACUGACGCUCAGGCACGAAGGCGUGGGGAUCAAACAGGAUUAGAUACCCUGGUAGUCCACGCAGUAAACGAUGAUUACUGGCUGUUUGCGAUACAAUGUAAGCGGCUGAGCGAAAGCGUUAAGUAAUCCACCUGGGGAGUACGUUCGCAAGAAUGAAACUCAAAUGAAUUGGCGGGG